UACGUAGGUGGCAAGCGUUAUCCGGAAUUACUGGGCGUAAAGCGCACGCAGGCGGUCUUUUAAGUUUGACGUGAAAGCUCCCGGCUUAACUGGGAGAGGUCGUUGAAUACUGGAAGACUUGAGGAAAUGAGAGGGGUGUAGAAUUCCCGGUGUAGUGGUGGAAAUGCGUAGAUAUCGGGGGGAAUACCAGUGGCGAAAGCGGCACCCUAGCAUUUUUCUGACGCUCAUGUGCGAAAGCGUGGGGAGCGAACGGG
rnacentral:rRNA from 1 species